UACGUAGGGUGCAAGCGUUGUUCGGAAUCAUUGGGCGUAAAGCGCGUGCAGGCGGCUAUCUAAGUCUGGUGUGAAAGCCCGGGGCUUAACCCCGGAAGUGCACUGGAUACUGGAUAGCUAGAGGGCGAGAGAGGGAAGUGGAAUUCCUGGUGUAGGGGUGAAAUCCGUAGAUAUCAGGAGGAACAUCAGUGGCGAAGGCGGCUUCCUGGCUCGUUUCUGACGCUCAGACGCGAAAGCGUGGGUAGCAAAC
rnacentral:rRNA from 1 species